ACAGGUGCUGCAUGGCUGUCGUCAGCUCGUGUCGUGAGAUGUUCGGUUAAGUCCGGCAACGAGCGCAACCCACGUCCUUAGUUACCAGCAUUUAGUUGGGUACCCUAGGGAGACCGCCGGUGAUAAGCCGGAGGAAGGUGUGGAUGACGUCAAGUCCUCAUGGCCCUUACGGGUUGGGCUACACACGUGCUACAAUGGCGAUGACAAUGGGUUAAUCCCAAAAAGUUAUCUCAGUUCGGAUUGUCCUCUGCAACUCGAGGGCAUGAAGUUGGAAUCGCUAGUAAUCGCGUAACAGCAUGACGCGGUGAAUACGUUCCCGGGCCUUGUACACACCGCCCGUCACACCAUGGGAAUUGGGUCUA
rnacentral:rRNA from 1 species